CCUACGGGAGGCAGCAGUGAGGAAUAUUGGUCAAUGGCCGUAAGGCUGAACCAGCCAAGUCGCGUGAAGGAAGAAGUAUUUCGGUACGUAAAGCUCUAUCAGCAGGGAAGAAAAUGACGGUACCUGACUAAGAAGCCCCGGCUAACUACGUGCCAGCAGCCGCGGUAAUACGUAGGGGGCAAGCGUUAUCCGGAUUUACUGGGUGUAAAGGGAGCGUAGACGGCAGCGCAAGUCUGGAGUGAAAUCCCAUGGCUUAACCAUGGAACUGCUUUGGAAACUGUGCAGCUGGAGUGCAGGAGAGGUAAGCGGAAUUCCUAGUGUAGCGGUGAAAUGCGUAGAUAUUAGGAGGAACACCAGUGGCGAAGGCGGCUUACUGGACUGUAACUGACGUUGAGGCUCGAAAGCGUGGGGAGCAAACAGGAUUAGAUACCCUUGUAGUC
rnacentral:rRNA from 1 species